rnacentral:piRNA from 1 species
UUUGAAACAUUUGUACUCACAAUGUGGAG